GACGAACGCUGGCGGCGUGCUUAACACAUGCAAGUCGAACGGAAAGGCCCUUUCGGGGGUGCUCGAGUGGCGAACGGGUGAGUAACACGUGGGUGAUCUGCCCUGCACUUCGGGAUAAGCUUGGGAAACUGGGUCUAAUACCGGAUAGGACCAUGGGAUGCAUGUCUUGUGGUGGAAAGCUUUUUGUGGUGUGGGAUGGGCCCGCGGCCUAUCAGCUUGUUGGUGGGGUGAUGGCCUACCAAGGCGACGACGGGUAGCCGGCCUGAGAGGGUGUCCGGCCACACUGGGACUGAGAUACGGCCCAGACUCCUACGGGAGGCAGCAGUGGGGAAUAUUGCACAAUGGGCGUAAGCCUGAUGCAGCGGCGCCGCGUGGGGAUGACGG
rnacentral:rRNA from 1 species